rnacentral:rRNA from 1 species
GAAACGACUGCUAAUACCGCAUAAGCGCACAGGAUUGCAUGAUCCAGUGUGAAAAACUCCGGUGGUAUGAGAUGGACCCGCGUCUGAUUAGCCAGUUGGCAGGGUAACGGCCUACCAAAGCGACGAUCAGUAGCCGACCUGAGAGGGUGACCGGCCACAUUGGGACUGAGACACGGCCCAAACUCCUACGGGAGGCAGCAGUGGGGGAAAUAAUUUGCAACAAAUGGGGGGGAAAACCCCCUGAAAUGGCAGGGCGAAACGCCCGGCGUGGAGGCGGAAGGAAGUAUUUUCGGUAUGCUCACCACGCUCUAUCAGCAGGGAAGAAGAAUGACGGUACCUGACUAAGAAGCACCGGCUAAAUACGUGCCAGCAGCCGCGGUAAUACGUAUGGUGCAAGCGUUAUCCGGAUUUACUGGGUGUAAAGGGAGCGCAGGCGGUGCGGCAAGUCUGAUGUGAAAGCCCGGGGCUCAACCCCGGUACUGCAUUGGAAACUGUCGUACUAGAGUGUCGGAGGGGUAAGUGGAAUUCCUAGUGUAGCGGUGAAAUGCGUAGAUAUUAGGAGGAACACCAGUGGCGAAGGCGGCUUACUGGACGAUAACUGACGCUGAGGCUCGAAAGCGUGGGGAGCAAACAGGAUUAGAUACCCUGGUAGUCCACGCCGUAAACGAUGAACACUAGGUGUCGGGGAGCAUUGCUCUUCGGUGCCGCAGCAAACGCAAUAAGUAUUCCACCUGGGGAGU